AGUGAACGCUGGCGGUAGGCCUAACACAUGCAAGUCGAACGGCAGCACAGUAAGAGCUUGCUCUUACGGGUGGCGAGUGGCGGACGGGUGAGGAAUACAUCGGACUCUACUUUUUCGUGGGGGAUAACGUAGGGAAACGUACGCUAAUACCGCAUACGACGUACGGGUGAAAGCAGUGGAUCUUCGGACCUUGCGGGAUUGGAUGAGCCGAUGUCGGAUUAGCUAGUUGGCGGGGUAAAGACCCAGCUAGGCGACGAUCCGUAGCUGGACUGAGAGGAUGGUCGGCCACACUGGAGCUGAGACACGGUCCAUACUCCUACGGGAGGCAGCAGACGGGAAUAGUGGACAAUGGGCGGAAGUCUGAUCCAGCCAUACCACGUGUGUGAAGAAGGCCUUCGGGUUGUGAAGCCCUUUUGUUGGUAAAGAAAAGCAGCAGGUUAAUACCCCGCUGUUCUGACGGUACCCAAAGAAUAAGCACCGGCUAACUUCGUG
rnacentral:rRNA from 1 species